rnacentral:lncRNA from 1 species
CUUAAAUACUUGUUCAAUAUAAUCUUUUUCACAUUUUCUCAAAAGUUCACACUUGAGCUAAAAAGGGACAAUUAGACUAGGAACAAGGAUAAAUACAGGAGAGUUACAACCUUGCUCUAUACAGAAAGUUACAAGAAACAGGAACUGCUUUGCUUCAAUCUAAUAACCAACAAUCCAACGAGGCUGCUAGAUAAAAUAGGGGCUCAUUUUAGGCUUUGCUUAGCUGGCUUCUCCCAGUAUUUUGUAGCUAGUUCCCUUGNAUGCAAAUUCCCAUUCGAAAAAGUGACAAGUUAAAAAAAGUGACAAAACAUUGAUCAAAACCUUAAAUAUAUAUUGUUUUAUGUAAAUUCAGCCACUCUUCCACCACCACCAUCACUCCACCUCCACUAAGGCCAACCCUACGAGCAAAAGGUCACUCAAAACGUCACAUAAAACACUAACCUUUGUUUUCAAUUGAGACCUCAUAAAAGGAAAUACAAGCACCAAAACAUGAUAGUUGUAUCAAGCAUCAAUUCUAUUCUAGUAAGAAAUCAUUUGUUAUAGAAAUAAACACAUAAUGACAAGGCAUUAACUCGACUUGGAUCAAAGGCCUCAUCGCACCUAUUGUCCAACCAAAACAAAAACGACUUCUUUUUCAUUCUUUCUUAAAUACUUGUUCGACAUAAUAGUUCACAUUUUCUCAAAUUCAUACUUGAGCUAAAAAGGGACAAUUAGACUAGGAACAAGGAUAAAGACGGGAGAGUUACAACCUCCCUCUAUACAAAAAGUUACAAGAAACAGGAACUGCUUUGCUUCAAUCUAAUAACCAACAAUACAACGGGGCUGCUAGAUGAAACAGGGGCUGCGUUUUGGGCUUUGCUUAGUGGGCUUCUCACAGUACUUUACAGUAGUUCCCUUGGAGAUAGGAGUGUCAAAAAGGCUCGGCGGCCCGGCUUUGAGCAACCAAGCCAAGGCUCGGGCCGAGCCCCAUUUUGGGGAUACGGGCCGAGCCCGAACAGACCCGUGAGCUUUUACUUAAAAAAAAAGAAGAAGAAGAAAGAGGCAGCAAGGUAGAAUUAUGCCAAGUUUGUUGCCUUUAAAAAGGCAGUUUUAAAGGGAGGGGAAGGAAAAAAAAAAUAAUAAUAAUAAUCCGAGCCUGCCCGGCUCGGCCCGUAAAAGCCCGGGCCGAAAUUUUUUGGCCGAGCAAAAGCUCGGCUCGGCUCGGGCUCGUAAAAAAGCUCGACCAUUUUAACCGAGCUGAGCUCGAGUCUAAAAUUUUAGGCUCGUGCUCGGCUCGAUUUGGCUCGUUGACAUCCCUACUUGGAGACCUAGGACCCCUCUCUUUCAAUUCGUUCAAUUUCUUGAUCAACACCUCAACAUCAUUUCCUAAACCUGACAUCCAUAUCAAAAUUACACUGAACGAGUACAAAAUAUCACUCAGGCACAAAAACUACAAUAAAACAAAGAUAAAAUGCACGAGAAUUUUGUAAUACCAUUUGUGUUGUCAGAUAUGUGAACGUAAUCACAAGAUCNUCACAUUUUCUCAAAAGUUCACACUUGAGCUAAAAAGGGACAAUUAGACUAGGAACAAGGAUAAAUACAGGAGAGUUACAACCUUGCUCUAUACAGAAAGUUACAAGAAACAGGAACUGCUUUGCUUCAAUCUAAUAACCAACAAUCCAACGAGGCUGCUAGAUAAAAUAGGGGCUCAUUUUAGGCUUUGCUUAGCUGGCUUCUCCCAGUAUUUUGUAGCUAGUUCCCUUGGAGACCUAGGACCCGUCUUUCGAUAUGUUCAAUUUCUUGAUCAACACCUCAACAUCAUUUCCUAAACCUGAUAUCCAUACCAAAAUUACACUGAACGAGUACAAAAUAUCACCAAGGCAUAAAAACUACAAUAAAAUGAAGAUAAAAUGCAGCACGAGAAUUUUGUAAUACCAUUUGUGUUGUCAGAUACGCGAACGUAAUCACAAGAUCAGUAUUAGCAACUAAUAUUUAGUAUUGAACAUAUUGCAGUAAGCACUAGCUAAGUGAAAACAAAGUAGUAUUCACCAUCACCAAUUGUAGUAAACAAGGGCAUAGUACCAACUAUUAUUACACUUUGACGCUAGCUUUAAAAGCGGACAUCAUAUUUACCUAUGACACGUCAAAUAGAAUUUAGUCAAAGUACCAAAACAGCACUUCACCAUGGUAAGCAAAUGAACUCUAUAUGCAGAUGCCCAUUCUAAUAAGUAAUCACAUUGCAGCAUUUCUCUUCUAAAACAAAACUAUAGUACAGCAAAUAAUACAUAAAGAACGUUUUGCAAUCAACUCUGUAUAUCAAUAUCGAAGAAGAAAUAAAAAAAGAUCACCUAAGAGAAUCUUCAUAGCAUUUUAUACAAAACAAAACUCGACCGUUAAACCUCACAAAGUAUUUAUAAUUGUGUUGAAAAAGUUUUAAAUUCCAAUCUUAAGCCACCAUAAACAUGGUCAAUGGAAAAAUAUAGCAAAAAUUCCAACUUGAAAAAUAACAAACAUUACAAAGAAAAAGCUUCAUUAUAUCCCAAACCCAGUGCCAAAAGCCAAGUUGCAUCUUUAAAAUCCUCAGUUAACUUUUGCCAUUCCUUCACAAUUUAUACUAGCAGAAGCUAAUAGAGGUUUACAAUCAUUUGAGACCUUUAAAUUUUCAAAAGGAAAAAGGUAAAUGUAUCAAAACCUGAAUCGAAUACUUAUAUAUCAAGAGAAGAAAAAUGAAAGACUAGAUCAAUAGCUCUUACCAUUAAUGGUGCACAGUGAAGCAAAAACUUCAAGAAAAGUCUACAGAUGACGAAAUAGUUAUCAAUUGGAAACACCAAAGCCAUCAUGGAAUGAUUCACUAUUUGGCGAUUGUUUUUUCCCCUAUCUUUUUCAUACAAAGAAACUUGAGUAGUGGAUUUUGGGGCGAUUUUGGGAUUUUUGUCUAUAAUCACUGGUGGGCAUUGCUUUGUGUUUGGGUUUUGAGGGGAUUUGGGCAUAUUCAGGGCGG